ACGUGACCCGCAUCCCUCGCUGAUCGGGAAGAAGGACCUUAAUCUUCACCAAGGUGGAAGGAAGCUUUGCCAAGUCUGGGUCUUAGCUGGGCAUAUCUGACGUUCUCACCAGAGACAGCAGUUCAUGUUCAGACCAACAGAUCUGUAAAUGGAGAGCUGUUGACAUGGAUGCCAGUGUGAAGCAGGAGUUCAGUGAGCGCUAC